GCGAUACGUGUGGGUGAUGUAGCGGAAGUGAACCGGACGCUGCAGCUCCAAGGCGCGUUCGGUGCUCUGCAGAAGCUGUGCAGAUAAUGCUGGUUCUACAAGGCCAGGAACUGAGUGAUCUGGCCGACAUGGUCGUGGUCGACCCAAUGGUCCAUCAUAUCCAUCCGGUCGUAGGGAAGCCCGCACGUCCACGCAGAAAGCUUACAACGCUCGCCAGAGCUGUAUAAGAAGAUUACCCACGUCUAAAUGAAUUGGAGGAUGGAACUGCGGCGCCAACCGGUUCUGAGCAGCAUUGUUCAACAUAUAGUUUUACGAAGGAAUCCUAAUGGCCUGAAAUCUAAGAAUUCAUGCUCCACAGCGUAGAUGCCUGCGAGAGCG